AAGUCGUAACAAGGUUUCCGUAGGUGAACCUGCGGAAGGAUCAUUAUUUUAAAAUCAAUAAUGUUUUGUGAAUUUUGUGUAAAAGAGAGUGUAGUGUGUGUUUUAAUUAGUACGCACUUUCACAUCAUUUUACAUAAGAAUGAAAUUAUAUAGUCUAAUAAUUAAAAUAAUUAAACAACUUUUAACAAUGGAUCUCUUGGCUCUU
rnacentral:misc_RNA from 1 species